UACAGAGGGGGCAAGCGUUGUUCGGAAUUACUGGGCGUAAAGGGCUCGUAGGCGGCCAACUAAGUCAUACGUGAAAUCCCUCAGCUUAACUGGGGAACUGCGUGUGAUACUGGAUGGCUUGGAUUUGGGAGAGGGAUGCGGAAUUCCAGGUGUAGCGGUGAAAUGCGUAGAUAUCUGGAGGAACACCGGUGGCGAAGGCGGCAUCCUGGACCAUUACUGACGCUGAGGAGCGAAAGCCAGGGGAGCAAACGGG
rnacentral:rRNA from 1 species